UUGCAGUUAAAAGCUCGUAGUUGGAUUUCGGAGUGGGCCAGUUGGUCCGCCGCAAGGUGUGUUACUGACUGGUUUGCUCUUCUUCGCAAAGACUGCGUGUGCUCUUCAGUGAGUGUGCGUAGGAUUUACGACGUUUACUUUGAAAAAAUUAGAGUGUUCAAAGCAGGCUAUUGCUCGAAUACAUGAGCAUGGAAUAAUGGAAUAGGACUUUGGUCCCAUUUUGUUGGUUUCUAGGGCCGAAGUAAUGAUUAAGAGGGACAAUUGGGGGCAUCCGUAUUUCGUUGUCAGUGGUGAAAUUCUUGGAUUUACGAAAGACGAACAACUGCGAAAGCACUUGCCAAGAGUGUUUUCAUUAAUCAAGAACGAAAGUUAGAGGAUCGAAGAGGAUCAGAUACCGUCCUAGUUCUAACCAUAAACGAUGUCGACUAGGGAUCAGCGGGCGUUAUCGUACGACCCCGUUGGCACCUUACGGGAAACCAAAGUUUCUGGAUUCCGGGGGAAGUAUGGUUGCAAAGCUGAAACUUAAAGGAAUUGACGGAAGGGCACCACCAGGAGUGGAGCCUGUGGCUCAAUUUGACUCAACACGGGAAAACUUACCAGGUCCAGACAUAGUAAGGAUUGACAGGUUGAGAGCCCUUUCUUGAUUCUAUGGGU
rnacentral:rRNA from 1 species